GAUGAACGCUGGCGGCGUGCCUAAUACAUGCAAGUCGAGCGAACAGACGAGGAGCUUGCUCCUCUGACGUUAGCGGCGGACGGGUGAGUAACACGUGGAUAACCUACCUAUAAGACUGGGAUAACUUCGGGAAACCGGAUCUAAUACCGGAUAAUAUAUUGAACCGCAUGGUUCAAUAGUGAAAGACGGUUUUGCUGUCACUUAUAGAUGGAUCCGCGCCGCAUGAGCUAGUUGGUAAGGUAACGGCUUACCAAGGCGACGAUGCGUAGCCGACCUGAGAGGGUGAUCGGCCACACUGGAACUGAGACACGGUCCAGACUCCUACGGGAGGCAGCAGUAGGGAAUCUUCCGCAAUGGGCGAAAGCCUGACGGAGCAACGCCGCGUGAGUGAUGAAGGUCUUCGGAUCGUAAAACUCUGUUAUUAGGGAAGAACAAAUGUGUAAGUAACUAUGCACGUCUUGACGGUACCUAAUCAGAAAGCAACGGCUAACUACGUG
rnacentral:rRNA from 1 species